rnacentral:lncRNA from 1 species
UCUAGGUUUUUAGCCGUUGGAUCUACUAUUUCAUUACUAAUAACCUUUGGAUCAAACACUAUUUCACCUACCACCACCUACCACCAUCAUCUUCAUCCUACAUCUCUCCAUCCAAUGGCUAAAAACUCAAAAGUACCACUCUCUUGGUGCUUUUGAGAGUAUUCUAGUUCAACUCUCUCUCUCUCUCUCUAUAUAUAUAAUUCUGUUAUGAUACUUUUAAAAGUAUAAGUACUCGAUGAUUGUAAUUUUUUCAUUGUUAGAUGAUUAAAUCUAUUCAUUUGAUCAUUUUUAUUCAUUAGAUCAUACUAAUUAACCAACUACUCACUCAAUUUUAAAAGAUCACUAUUAUUCUAAUCGCACAUUCCUUAAUUUAAGGGUCGAAAACUUACAAACACCAAUAAUUUGUUACUUUUAAAAAUGUAAAAACUCAAUUAUAUAAUAAUAAUAAUAAUAAUAAUAAUAAGUUGUUAACUUGCUUUUUCCUGUAUUACUUUACCUAAAGUUAAUACCCAUAAAUGACUAAAUAAGAAUUGAGCUAAAAUACUUUUAGAAGCACCAAAAAAAUAGUGCUUUCAAGUUUUUAGCAAUUGGAUCUAGUCCUUGAUUAUUAAUAGUUUUUGAAUCAAAUACUAUUCCACCUACCACCACCCACCAUCAUCUCAAUUCUAUAUUUUUUUUUUCAAAAAUUAAAAACUAAAAAACACCAUUUUUUUUUGUGCGUUUGGAAGUAUUCUAACUCAACUCGACUAGAUAAUAUAGUCAAUAAUAGAUCAUGAAACAAUAAUACACACCAACUUACGUAAAUUGCUGUAAAUUAAAUUAGAGUCGUUUUGAUAAAUGGACAAAAUUAAUAUAUUCCUUGUAGAACAAGUGUAACUAGACACGGCCAUUUUUGCGUACGGGUCAGAUACACUCACCAACUCCAAAGCUUUCGUAGUAAAAGCCCCAGCUAUAAAUGGCAAAAAAGAUGUCCCUUUCCCUCUCCCUAUAAACCCCACCGUUUUGAUACAACUAUGCGAAGAUUCCACGAAGAGAGAGAGAGAGAAGAGAGAGAGAGAGAGAGAGAGAGAGGGGAGGUGAGUUUGUAGCAGGGAGAAAAAGCCAACCUCACCUCCACCUCGGGAACCAAAAUCAAUCCAACUCCAAUCUUUUUAGAUUUGUACCCUCACCCCCUCUCUCUCUCUCUCUCUCUCUCUCUCUCUCUCUCUUGUUUUGGUUCUGCAUGCAUGUGUUGCAGUGUGAAGUAUAUAUGUAUAGAAAGAUAUGGAAGGGGAGCAGCAGCUGUAGUGUCCUUUCCGUAGCUAUGCUAUGCUAUCAUGUUAGCUUUGGAGUCUUGUACAAAAAGAUGGAAGUGUAUGAGAGGGAGAAAAGAAUAUAUAAUUAAUGCAUGCACCAUGGUCUAUAUUUAUACUGGUGGAGAUUCAUGUAACUAUAUAUAGAGUGAGGCUACUACGCUAUCGGAAGCACGGAGCCUUCCGUGCUUCCAGCUCGUUUUCGAUGUUGCGACUUUCGAAUUGUCGAUCGGCUCCGUUAAACUUGAUCUAGAGUAUAUAUAUAUAUAUAUAUAUCCUCACUCCGAUGAUACGAUAGCCUUCGUGCCUCGGAAGGCACGAAGGUCGAGCAAAAGCUACAACGCUGAAAGCUUAGCAGCUAGCCGAGGCAAUUUGAACUAGAUCUCAUACACUUCAUAGAUCUUUUAUUUAAAAUACUAAAAUGCUAUAGUAAACGGAUCACUUGUUUCCCCGAGUUUUAGUUGCCGGCUUUUAUUUUUAGAAUGUUUUACAUUAUUAUACUGUAAUUUUAAAAUUUAGUUUCUAUAACUAGAACAAAAUAUAUCAUAUUUCUUAAAAGAUAGUUUUAAAGUGCACUAAACUUAUAAAAAGGUGGCAAUUUGAACGUUUGCCGAGUGAUGCCGGUAACUUUAAACAACUAAAACUCGGGUAAGCUAGUGAUCCGUUUACUAUAGUUUUUUAUUAUUUUAAAUAAAAGAUCCAUGAGGUUUANAAAAUAUAUAUAUAUAUAUAUAUAUAUAUAUAUAUAUAUAUAUAUAUAUAUAUAUAUAUAGUCCGGCUACGAUACUCUUAUGAGUACGAUCGUUCUGGUAUUCAUAAGUCGUUUUCGAUAAUAGAGCUUCUGAAUCGAUAAUUCAUACCGUUAAAUAUUAUUUAAAGCAUUUAAAAUUUUUAGAAAUCAAAAUUUUAUAAUUUUUUGACAUUAUUUAUCUUACAAUCAAAAGGUCACAAAAUUGACAGUUUUUAACGGCUGGUAUAAGAUACUUGGUAGUUUAACGGUGUAGAAGAAUCGGAAUCGGUUGAAUUUUUGAUAGAAAAUUCUAUUCACUACUUAGAAAAAGAUUAAUAACUCCGAUCUUAAAUUGAAUGAUUCGAUCAUCCAUAUUUAGGACAUCGUUCAAUUUCGACCGUUCAUUUUAUACCCACUUGAUGGACUUUAUUAUGAUUUCGAAAACUUACAAAAUUUAUUUUCUAGAAGUUUCAAAUACUCUAUAUCAUAUUUGAUGGAGUGGAUUGUCGAUUCGGAAGCUCCAUCAUCGAAAACAACUUAUGAGUAUGAAGGACUCUAUACUCAUAAGAGUAUAUUAGUCCUACUCUCUCCCUCUCUUUCUCUCUCUCUCUCUCUCUCUAUAUAUAUAUAUAUAAUUUAGCUAAAAUAUUUUUAAAAGCAUCUACCCCUUGGUGCUUCUAGGUUUUUAGCCGUUGGAUCUACUAUUUCAUUACUAAUAACCUUUGGAUCAAACACUAUUUCACCUACCACCACCUACCACCAUCAUCUUAACCCUACAUCUCUCCAUCCAAUGGCUAAAAACUCAAAAGUACCACUCUCUUGCUGCUUUUGAGAGUAUUCUAGUUCAACUCUCUGUCUUUAUAUAUAUAUAUAGUUCUGUUAUGAUACUUUUAAAAGUAUAAGUACUCGAUGAUUGUAAUAUUUUCAUUGUUAGAUGAUUAAAUCUAUUCAUUUGAUCAUUUUUAUUUAUUAGAUCAUACUAAUUAACCAACUACUCACUCAAUUUUAAAAUAUUAUUAUCAUUCUAAUCGCACAUUCCUUAAUUUAAGGGUCGAAAACUUACAAACGCCAAUAAUUUGCUACUUUUAAAAAUGUAAAAACUCAAUUAUAUAAUAAUAA